GCCAGGCAUGGUGGCCCACACCUGUAAUCCCAGCUACUUGGGAGGCUGAGGCAGGAGAAUCACUUGAACCCAGGAGGCGGAGGUUGCAGUGAGCCAAGAUUGUGCCACUGCACUCCAGCCUGGGUGACAGAGUGAGACUCUGUCUCAA
rnacentral:SRP_RNA from 1 species